rnacentral:rRNA from 1 species
AACGGCGGCCGUAACUAUAACGGUCCUAAGGUAGCGAAAUUCCUUGUCGGGUAAGUUCCGACCCGCACGAAAGGCGUAACGAUUUGGGCACUGUCUCAACGAGAGACUCGGUGAAAUCAUAGUACCUGUGAAGAUGCAGGUUACCCGCGACAGGACGGAAAGACCCCGUGGAGCUUUACUGUAGCCUGAUAUUGAAAUUCGGCACAGCUUGUACAGGAUAGGUAGGAGCCUUUGAAACGUGAGCGCUAGCUUACGUGGAGGCGCUGGUGGGAUACUACCCUAGCUGUGUUGGCUUUCUAACCCGCACCACUUAUCGUGGUGGGAGACAGUGUCAGGCGGGCAGUUUGACUGGGGCGGUCGCCUCCUAAAAGGUAACGGAGGCGCUCAAAGGUUCCCUCAGAAUGGUUGGAAAUCAUUCAUAGAGUGUAAAGGCAUAAGGGAGCUUGACUGCGAGACCUACAAGUCGAGCAGGGUCGAAAGACGGACUUAGUGAUCCGGUGGUUCCGCAUGGAAGGGCCAUCGCUCAACGGAUAAAAGCUACCCCGGGGAUAACAGGCUUAUCUCCCCCAAGAGUUCACAUCGACGGGGAGGUUUGGCACCUCGAUGUCGGCUCAUCGCAUCCUGGGGCUGUAGUCGGUCCCAAGGGUUGGGCUGUUCGCCCAUUAAAGCGGUACGCGAGCUGGGUUCAGAACGUCGUGAGACAGUUCGGUCCCUAUCCGUCGUGGGCGUAGGAAAUUUGAGAGGAGCUGUCCUUAGUACGAGAGGACCGGGAUGGACAUACCUCUGGUGUACCAGUUGUCGUGCCAACGGCAUAGCUGGGUAGCUAUGUGUGGACGGGAUAAGUGCUGAAAGCAUCUAAGCAUGAAGCCCCCCUCAAGAUGAGAUUUCCCAACUUCGGUUAUAAGAUCCCUCAAAGAUGAUGAGGUUAAUAGGUUCGAGGUGGAAGCAUGGUGACAUGUGGAGCUGACGAAUACUAAUCGAUCGAAGACUUAAUCAAAA